UAUCUCUGUAGAGUCUGCAUAUCAAUAAGCGGAGGAAAAGAAACUAACAAGGAUUCCCCUAGUAACGGCGAGUGAAGCGGGAAGAGCUCAAAUUUGAAAUCUUCAAGGUUUGACCUUGACGAAUUGUUGUUUAAAGAAGUGUUUUCGGUUAGAGGAGUAGUAAAAGUUCUUUGGAAUAGGACAUCAUAGAGGGUGAGAAUCCCGUAUUUGACUAUUCUUUCUAGCUUUGUGAUACACUUUCAAAGAGUCGGAUUGUUUGGGAAUGCAGUCCAAAAUGGGUGGUAAAUUUCAUCUAAAGCUAAAUAUUGGCGAGAGACCGAUAGCGAACAAGUACCGUGAGGGAAAGAUGAAAAGAACUUUGAAAAGAGAGUUAAACAGUACGUGAAAUUGUCAAAAGGGAAGCGUUUGACACCAGUGUUGUUUUUCCGAAAAUCAAUUAAAAAUUGAUUCAUGCCAGGUUGUAUUGACCUUAUCAGCUUGCAAUUUGGUUUUGGGUCUCUUUUUGAUGCACUUUUCGGUUAACAAGUCAACAUCAAUUUCCUUUGCUGUAAAAAGGUAAGAGGAAGGUGGCUUCAAUUUCGGUUGAAGUGUUUAUAGCCUUUUAUCUCUGCAGUCGGGGAGAUUGAGGUCUGCAGCGUAGAUCCUUCGGGGCUAGAUACAUUUAUGCUAAGUUAUAGCUUUUCAUAGACAACUUGUUGACUAUGUUUAGUCAUGUAGCUUACUCGUAAGUGCUAUUUUACCUACGCUUAGGAUGUUGACUGAUAUGUAGUCGUA
rnacentral:rRNA from 1 species